AUUGAACGCUGGCGGCAUGCUUUACACAUGCAAGUCGAACGGCAGCGCGGGCUUCGGCCUGGCGGCGAGUGGCGAACGGGUGAGUAAUACAUCGGAACGUGCCCAGUAGUGGGGGAUAGCUCGGCGAAAGCCGGAUUAAUACCGCAUACGACCUGAGGGUGAAAGCGGGGGAUCUUCGGACCUCGCGCUAUUGGAGCGGCCGAUGGCAGAUUAGCUAGUUGGUGGGGUAAAGGCCUACCAAGGCGACGAUCUGUAGCUGGUCUGAGAGGACGACCAGCCACACUGGGACUGAGACACGGCCCAGACUCCUACGGGAGGCAGCAGUGGGGAAUUUUGGACAAUGGGCGAAAGCCUGAUCCAGCAAUGCCGCGUGUGUGAUGAAGGCCUUCGGGUUGUAAAGCACUUUUGGCGGGAACGAAAAGGACUGUGCCAAUACCACGGUUCGAUGACGGUACCCCA
rnacentral:rRNA from 1 species